AUAAAUAUGUCGGCGUUAGUUAUGAAUUAAGAAGAGAAAUUGAUCAAAUCGGAAAAUAAAAUGAAGUUACAUCAUUUCCGUUAUGAAGUUGCAACGCUCCGACGAAAGGUGGCGUACGGCCAGAGCUGCGUGAAGUCGAGGGAGUCACUACAGAGUCGUCGUGUCGAGCGGACGUGCACUGCCGUUCUAGUCGGGCAGUCUACCGCGAACCUUCGUCGUGAACGGACGUGUCGAAUAAUUACGAUCGGAACGUGGAGUGCUAUAGUCGCUCACCUAUAACUUGUAGGGACGUUAAGAAAGUGUGAUCGGAAAAGAGCACCUAGCAAGUACGUUCACAUGUCCCGAUGAUUCGGUCCGAAUGUUGGAACCAUGGGUGGUGGAGGGCCCCUUCGCGCUAACGUCCUUAUGCGCGCUAGAUAACGAGAGACUGUGUAACCGUUACGAAUACUGUGACGUUGCCGUGAGUGUGUACCUUAUGCUGUGACUUUAUUUAAUCGUGAUACAAAAACUAUGUGGAAGUAAAUAAAAUGAUUGUGAUACUGAUGACGGCCAUUAUUGUCUUCUAACGCCCACCCUCCAUUCUGAUGAUGAUGUUACGACCGACACCCACACUGCUACGACAUCAGAAGUGGGAUUAGUGAACUUGGAUGAAGACAACGUGAUGUGACGUUCACAACAAGACAAUGCAAGUUUCGAUUAUCACAAUCAGAAGAAGAUUAUGAUGAUUAUCACAUUCGUGUGACCACGUGAUGAAGAUGUAGUGUCAUGCCUGAAUUUGGAGAUGGACCUGAAUUUGAAGUGACCUGGACCUUGUUAAUGAUCGACAUCACUACAUGCCGUAAGAUAUGAUGGCGUGAACAUCACAAUAUGUCCAUACUGUGUGCAGUCGUGUUUGAAAAUUAUGGAACCUGAAAUUGAAAACUGUUAUUACGGUGAGUCGUUUUCAUACUGGAACCUUAUUGUUAUUGACUUCAUUGCUAUGUGUAUUUCCGUUUCUAAUAAUAAGGAAAUUGUUUGUUUUUAAAAUCAAAAUUGACGAGACAUAUGGUGUCAACCCGUGUCAAUCAUACCGCGUUUUCCAAUCUGUUUUCAUCAUCGUCAAAUCUUUGUAUUUUGGUCUAAAAAUAUUUUGAAUUGGUGUAGACACGCUUAACCUGCGUGGUUAAAGUUGUAUUUUCUCACUUCAAACAAAAAGAAAAUUAAUCAUGAAAUGAUAAUAAUUAACUCUAGUUAAAUCACGUGUUUUGUUAUCUACCGUCAUUCAUCAAAUCUUUUUAAACCGAUUGAAAGAAAGUCAUGUGAAUACGAUAAUACAGUGAAUUCUUUUGUUUCAUGUCAAAACUUUGCACGUGGUUCGGCAACUGGUGGAUUGCAAGCGGCAAUCCAAGUGGCGCGGGCUGAGCUGUAGCCGUGUAAAGUGACGACAUCGUGGCAGCGCGUUGUAUACCAGCCGGACUUGCUGCGCCGGCGCUGUUGCAGACCUAAACCAUGUCACAAGACCGUGGUUGAUCUUUUAUUGGAAAUUCUUAUAAGGCCUGGUGAGUCGUAUCUGUUUUACCUGAUUUGAAAGAUGGGAAGUUUUAAUAGGAUACAAACGAAUAUAGUGCAGAAAGUUCUCUUUUGUUAACUUUAGUUAAAUUAGAAAUCGUAAUGAAGUGAAGUAAACAUUGCGAAGUAAAAUGAUUUGGAUUAUGAUUAAGUGAAAUAGACUUGAAAAAAUGCCUCGAAGCGAAAUGCCUUCUGAGUUAAAUGUUACUGAUUUAGAGAGUGAAUAAGAUGUUACACGGCACACAUACUUUGGUAUUGUUAUUUUCUCUUUUGUUGUUGUGCUGCAUUUCCAGCGUAGUCGUAACUGCAGUCCCGUUAGAGGCUGUUCAGGGCGCGGUGUGCGACUGGAGGUGUGGUGAGUGUGUAGGUCCAUGGGGACCUGGUUUUAGUGGUAUAUGAUUACCUUGUGGAAAUGACCAAUGAUGGUCUGUUAUGAAAGUGGCAAAUGGUUGCCAAUGUUAUCACCGAGUAUUAAGGUGCACUGUGGCUCCAGCGUAGUCGUAACUGCAGUCCCGUUAGAGGCUGUUCAGGGCGCGGUGUGCGACUGGAGGUGUGGUGAUUGUUUAGGUCCAUGGGGACCUGGUUUUAGUGGUAUAUGAUUACCUUGUUGAGUUGACCAAUGGUGGUCUGUUAUGAAAGUGGCAAAUGGUUGCCAAUGUUGACUAAUCACCGAGUAUUUAUGUGCCCGUGUAUGUGUGUGUAAAAUGAACAGUCUAAGAUAUUUUUUUGAUUUUUUGAUCAUUGUUGUUGAUUGAGGCAUUCUUUCAAAUUGUUUACUCUGUGUGGUGAUGCACACGGGAAAUCCACUUGAUGGGGAUAUGUGUACUGAAGUCUUAUGUAGUCUCAAGUAGAGCUCAUGUAGUCUCAAGUAGAGCUCAUGUAGAGUCUCAAGUAGAGCUCAUGUAGAGUCUCAAGUAGAGCUCAUGUAGAGUCUCAAGUAGAGCUCAUGUAGAGUCUCAAGUAGAGCUCAUGUAGAGUCUCAAGUAGAGCUCAUGUAGAGUCUCAAGUAGAGCUCAUGUAGAGUCUCAAGUAGAGCUCAUGUAGAGUCUCAAGUAGAGCUCAUGUAGAGUCUCAAGUAGAGCUCAUGUAGAGUCUCAAGUAGAGCUCAUGUAGAAGCUCAUGUAGAGCUCAUGUAGAGCUCAUGUAGAGCUCAUGUAGAGUCUCAAGUAGAGCUCGGACAGAGUCCUUUAGAGUCUCAUGUUAGGUCAGGAAUGACCGAGCGAACUUGGAUACUGUGCUGUGGUAUAUUGUUUCAGAUUAACACACGAGGACGUGUGUCACGCAGGAUGGCCGUGUCGGCGUUAGUUAUGAAUUAAGAAGAGAAAUUGAUCAAAUCGGAAAAUAAAAUGAAGUUACAUCAUUUCCGUUAUGAAGUUGCAACGCUCCGACGAAAGGUGGCGUACGGCCAGAGCUGCGUGAAGUCGAGGGAGUCACUACAGAGUCGUCGUGUCGAGCGGACGUGCACUGCCGUUCUAGUCGGGCAGUCUACCGCGAACCUUCGUCGUGAACGGACGUGUCGAAUAAUUACGAUCGGAACGUGGAGUGCUAUAGUCGCUCACCUAUAACUUGUAGGGACGUUAAGAAAGUGUGAUCGGAAAAGAGCACCUAGCAAGUACGUUCACAUGUCCCGAUGAUUCGGUCCGAAUGUUGGAACCAUGGGUGGUGGAGGGCCCCUUCGCGCUAACGUCCUUAUGCGCGCUAGAUAACGAGAGACUGUGUAACCGUUACGAAUACUGUGACGUUGCCGUGAGUGUGUACCUUAUGCUGUGACUUUAUUUAAUCGUGAUACAAAAACUAUGUGGAAGUAAAUAAAAUGAUUGUGAUACUGA